rnacentral:lncRNA from 1 species
GGCUGUGUCCCCACCCAAAUCUCAUCUUGAAUUGUAGUUUUCACAAUCCCCGUGUGUUGCAGGAGGAAGCUGGUGGAAGAUAAUUGGAUCAUGGGGGCAGUUUCUCCCAUACUAUUCGCGUGGCUGUAAGGCUCAAGAGAUCUGAUGAUUUUAUAAGGGGAAAUCCCUUGCAUUUGAUCCUCAUUCUGUCUUGCCCGAUGCUGUGUAAGAAGCGCCUUUCACCUUUUGCCAUGAUUUUGAGGCCUCCCCAGCCAUGUGGAACUGCACCCGACUACCUUACUUCACUUCAUUACAUCCUUACAGCAACCUGGUGCUUAAAGUGCUAUCAUCACAAGAAUGAGGAAACAGUUGAGAAAAGCCAGUUGUGAUGGCUAUGGUCAUGCGUUAUACAACUGGCAGGCAUAAGCAGCGACUCUAGACCCUGAGUGCUUCUCCAUUGCAGCCUUGUCUGUUUUUUCAGAUAUUGGUACACGUGAAGACAGAAAGUGGUAAGUACUAAGGGUCCUCCAGCAAAAUGCUCAGGAAUCCAUGAGAAAGGAAGGGAGACUCCUCGUUUAAACGUCGUAUGAAUUGGAAUUAAAACACAGUCAAUGGUAUGCCAAAAUACUCUCAUGUCAGAAUGGCAAGAUCAAAGUAGCUGUAUCAAUCUGUGAUGUGUCUGCCAUCAUGGGUCAAGGAAAAAAUUUUGAUCCACUAGACAGGGAGAGAUAGUCCCUGGGAGAACAGAGUUGAGUGUGUAAUUGACAAGAAGUUUGGGGACUUGAUACAAAAUCCUAGCUGUGGUGAUUGGGCCUAAAUCUUAGCUCUCAUGGAGGAAUGGUUCUAAAUUUCACUUAAUGAAGUGAAAGCUGUUUGACAUUUUCUGGUUAGCCAGGACUGUACCUCUUUGUAUUUUUUCAAUGCUUUUACCUCUGGCUUAGAAUGCCCUUCCUCUUUCGGGCAGUUAAUGGGUAACUAUUACACAUUUAUUUAUAUAUUAAUUUUGCCCAUCCA